GACGAACGCUGGCGGCGUGCUUAACACAUGCAAGUCGAACGGAAAGGCCCUGCUUUUGUGGGGUGCUCGAGUGGCGAACGGGUGAGUAACACGUGAGUAACCUGCCCUUGACUUUGGGAUAACUUCAGGAAACUGGGGCUAAUACCGGAUAGGAGCUCCUGCUGCAUGGUGGGGGUUGGAAAGUUUCGGCGGAUGGGGAUGGACUCGCGGGUUACCAGUUGGUUGGUGGGGUAGUGGCUUACCAAGGCUUUGACGGGUAGCCGGCCUGAGAGGGUGACCGGCCACAUUGGGACUGAGAUACGGCCCAGACUCCUACGGGAGGCAGCAGGGGGGAAUAUUGCACAAUGGGCGGAAGCCUGAUGCAGCAACGCCGCGUGCGGGAUGACGGCCUUCGUGUUGUAAACCGCUUUCGCCUGUGACGAAGCGUGAGUGACGGUAAUGGGUAAAGAAGCACCGGCUAACUACGUG
rnacentral:rRNA from 1 species